CAAUGCAGGAAAGGUGGCAGGAGACAAUGUCUCUCAGUUCUUGAAAUUAAUAUGUAGAUUUCCCUUGGGUUUUUGUUCGCAUUUCUAAGUGGCUUUAUAUAAAACGGAUAUGCUUAAUUUACUAACAGAUAGAUUUUUUUUUUUAAGUCUAAGCAAAAACCAUAUCCCAGGUUGCCACGUGCAGAGAAGAGAAGCUGUCCCAGUGAUGGUGGAGAGACAUAAUGCGCAGCAACUGUUUGAAGGGCGGAAUGAAGGCACAUCCUGAUGUCUUGGCGCUAAGAGAAGGAAAAGGAUAUUUACAUAAGAUGAGACGCCAAUAAAUCGGAAAGUUCAAUGUGCUUAGAAAUAGACAGUGGCUGGGACAAUGAUGAAGGAAUCACAUUGCUGCAGCAGACUGCAUCUCUCAUGUUUAAUUUUCGUUUAAUUCCUGAGGAAGGCAGAGGCUCAAAGGAGUGACUCACCCUCACGCUCAUCCUUCAGAAACACUCUUGCCGACCCCUCGGACGCCAAAUCCUGGAAAUACCUUUAUUUUUUACUUUCCUGAGUUGAUCAUCUUUCACAGGGUGUUUAUUGAUCAGAAGCAAUGCUCAUCUGGGGUUCAGCCACGAAGCGGUGUUUCAAACCAGGCAAAGAGGUACAAGGUGGACAUUUCCAGCCUGUUCAUCUGAACUGAUUCAACUGUCGUCAUCUUUGUGCCCGGAGAGAACACCAAAAUGAACAUGUGCCUCGUACUAAGAAAUCCCAGGAUUGUCACAACCCGUGCCAGCUGUUGAGGUUAUGACACCUGUGCCAGCUUCGCCAGCUCUGCCCACUGUCAUCUGCUCCAACUGCUCCAUCUGCACUGUUUGUACCAAUUCUCCCAUUUCUGCAUCUGUACCUUCUGCAGAGACGUUUCCAACAAUGCCAGCUGUGUCAUUGGUGCCAAAUAUGCCAGAUGUUCUAUUUGUCCACCCUGGGCCAAAUCAAUGCAGUUCUGUGCUCAUUAGUUUUAGCUGGUAGAUUCUAUUUUACAAUUUUUUGAGACGUAUUUAGAUGGAAUCCAGGCAAAAAUCCCCCUUACAACCAUUUCACAUCGCGCUCUCCAAUCUUUUUUGCCACUGCAACUUUAUCUAGCAACAUAAAGUUGGUCAAUGUCCUCUUGAUCAUAUUAAACUCAUUCUCAGUAACCAGUUCAGCGUUCAUUGUGGCAGGGCCUUUCCUGUAUAGAAGAAAAUAUUGCAGAAGCUGUGGGACACAACAAUAAAUUGGCGAGCUAAUUAAAAAAGAAUAACUUCGUUCAGAUAAACAAAUUGAGAAUGUGCAAAAAUCAAUAUGUCUAGCCGAUUAGAGUAAUCUAUGGCAUAAUGUUCUAUUAGGCUGUCUGUUUAUUGGUCUUUAAUUGACAGAGUUACAUGUGUGGAUUGAUGUGUGUGUCAUCCAUUCCCCUUCUCUGGGUUAGGGUUAGUAUUAACCAAGGAUGCAUGCAGGGGUAGGGCCAGGCUGUUGCACUGGCCACUUACUGAUGGAAGGAAGCAAGGUCAGGAGCUUAUGCUCUGGCCAGAAGCUAACUCUCUCUCUUCUCUCAAAUGUCAAUUCUACCAGUGCCAACACAAACCAUUCUUUGGAUAAGAAUGCGCUUUCAUCUGUAAGGUUGAAAAACAACAAAAAAGGUAUUUUCAUACUCAAAAGCUCAGUAUUCUGUAUCACUGCAAACCCAAAAGUAGUGUUUUCCUCUUCUCUUCUCUUUUUUCUUUUCUGUUCUCAUUUAGGAAGGCCUUUCUAAAGGAGCACUAACACUUAAUCUCCAAACUUUACACCAGAUUCUUUCCUCUCAAAUCAUUUUCAGAUAUGGAGGAUGAACCCAGAGUCUGUCAUAUGAAAAUUGAUGCUUUACUAUGGAAUGUGAGGUCCAGAGGACAUCACACUACCUCCUGUUUAUUCAACUUGGAUUAUUUAACCUGCUGUUUCCAAUGAUGAAAGUUGUAACCAUUCACCAGUGCUUCAAAGCAUUAAUGGCGACGUUCUUGACAACAGAUAAAAUGGCUCACGAUUA